rnacentral:RNase_P_RNA from 1 species
GAAGCCGGCCAGACCGCCGCUGGCACGAGCGGGGAAACCCGGUGCUGGAGGAAGGUCCGGACUGCACAGGGCAGCGCAGGAGCUAACGGCUCUCCACCGCGAGGUGAGGAUCAGAGCAACAGAGACGAGUCAGCACGGGGCGUCCUCGAUGCGGGGUGUUCUGCAAGGCGGCGGCGCAAGCCAUCGCGCGGACGGCGCAAGCCGGCCGUCAUCGGCGCAAGCCGAUGUCAGCAGCCACCCAACGCGGGGCUCCGCCCCGCGUUGGGUGAAACGGGCAAUCUCUGCGCGCAGCAACACCAAGUAGGCACACGUCGACGCGGCCCGCGGAGUGUGCGGGUAGGUGGCACCGAGCCGUGGUGGCGACACCCGGCCCAGACGAAUGGCGGUCACGGCAGGGCAACCUGCCGCACAGAAUCCGGCCUAUCGGCCGACUUCACAC